rnacentral:lncRNA from 1 species
GUCUUCUCGUAAUCUGGAAUGGAAUUUUUUAUCACUACGACAGCGCUCAUACAUUUAAUUUAAGAAAUGCUGAAAUUCUUGCGCAUAAAAUUUUUUCAUCAAUAGAAAGUAGCGCUUCUUUUCAAUUUGUUAAUGUAGAUUGUCCACAACAGUCGAAUAGUUACGAUUGUGGUAUUUAUGUAAUAGCAUAUUGUGAAAACCUGUGCCAAUCUUACAGACGAAACAAAUCUUUAGCUCUUACUGCGGAUUUUGAUGCCAUUUCUCAACGAAAUAAAAUUUUAUUAAUAGUAAAUUCUCUUAAAUAAAUUGUAAAUAAAUCAUUUUUUCAAUCUGUCGUGUUUGCGUGAACAAAAAAUCGAGAC